rnacentral:rRNA from 1 species
GAUGAACGCUGGCGGCGUGCCUAAUACAUGCAAGUCGAGCGAACAGAUAAGGAGCUUGCUCCUUUGACGUUAGCGGCGGACGGGUGAGUAACACGUGGGUAACCUACCUAUAAGACUGGGAUAACUUCGGGAAACCGGAGCUAAUACCGGAUAACAUUUGGAACCGCAUGGUUCUAAAGUGAAAGAUGGUUUUGCUAUCACUUAUAGAUGGACCCGCGCCGUAUUAGCUAGUUGGUAAGGUAACGGCUUACCAAGGCGACGAUACGUAGCCGACCUGAGAGGGGGAUCGGCCACACUGGAACUGAGAAACGGUCCAGACUCCUACGGGAGGCAGCAGUAGGGAAUCUUCCGCAAUGGGCGAAAGCCUGACGGAGCAACGCCGCGGGAGUGAUGAAGGGUUUCGGCUCGUAAAACUCUGUUAUUAGGGAAGAACAAACGUGUAAGUAACUGUGCACGUCUUGACGGUACCUAAUCAGAAAGCCACGGCUAACUACGU